GUGGGGCGCCUGCCGUGGGCUCCUUCUCUCGGCAGCACUCCUGGUUCUCAAAGAACGGGAUGCAGCCUGCAGGGCUAGGAUCCUAGGCUGUACACAGGAGGUUGUGAUCCCCAGGAUGUUUAGAAAUGUUAUCAGAAUCAUGUCAUCCAGAAAAUAUUUUCCAAAGAGGUUUAUCACUAAGUCUAUUUAGUUUGUUAAGCAGGUUUUCAUAUGGGUCAAUGAGGUGUUUGUGAUUUUCUCCAGUUUUUUAUUUUUUUUUUAUGGGUUUAGCAGGGUUUAUCCUUUUCUGUGGAAAAUUUACAGCAAAGGUUUAACUCAUUUUUUUCCCAUGUCUAUUUUCCAACUAUAACUGCUGAUAUUGUCAAGUUUUUUCUUUCUUUCCUGCUCGCAUUCUCUUCUCUUUAUUUUCUCUCUUCCUUCCUCCCUUUCUUUCUCUCUCACCCUCUCUUCUUUUCUUUUCUUUCUUGCCGUUGUCUCCAUCAAGUCCAGCUUUCUGUGAAGCAGCUUCAGGCCGAUGUCAUUUUUCUUUGAUACUGAGUAUUUCUAUUAAGUAUACUGUUUCCUGGCCUUCCAUUCAAAGUGUCCUUGGGGGCAGAAAAGCAGGCUCGCAGCAUCCUGCUUCAGCCAGGUGGCCCGGAGAUGUUUGGUAAGCCAGAGGCAGCGGAGGUGGGAGAGAUGGGGUGAUUACCCCUACCUCACAGAUUUGGAGACUGAGACUAAGAGGCCCUUCUCCCCUUGUACCUCUUUAUACUUUUAAUAAUGAUUGAAGAUCAGGGGUCUUAGUCCCGGAUCUUUCAUUUCUGGCUCCCACUAGGUUUGUAUUAGUCAGGACUCUGUUACAGAAAAGACAGCCCCACGUCCAGCUGGCUUGAGGGGUAAGUAAGCCUCAGGCAUGGCUGUAUCCAGGCACAAAUAUUGUCUAGAAUAGGCUUUUUUUUAAAUCCUGCUUUCCCCCGUACCGGCUUCAUUUUCAAAUAGAAUUCACUCAUAGAAAGUGCCCCUUUCUCAGUAAUUCGACCUGAGUCCUGGAUAAGGUAGUGCUGUCACUGGCCCCGCCUCAUUCCCAUGCCAGCCUUGUGGCCUAAAGAAUGAAAGGACUUCCAGCCCGCUGACCCCAGCCAGAUGAAGAAGACAAACAUUAUGAGGGGAUGGGACUCCCCAAGAGAAAAAUCAGGGGUCAGUUACUAGAAAACAGAGGGUGGAUACUAAGAGGCAAAAAGGUCCGAUGUCCACAACAACGUCUCUGUCUUAUAAUCCAUUAAAAAGGAAUAACAGUUCCUGCUCUCCCUGCCUCCCAGGCCUCAUGGGGCUCAAAGGAGAUCAUCAAAUGGAAGCUUUUUGCCUUCUAGAAUGCCAUGUGGGUACAAAGGGUGUCAGAACCCUAGUGCUUUUAGGAGCCUCACAACAUUCUCGGACUCCAUAAAACACAAAACUCUCAAUCAGCAGAGGGCACCUAACAGAAAGCUAAGACACUCAACACAGAUUGGAAAAAGGUAUUCGUCACACAUACGAGACAGGAGUAAUCUUCAGAAUUUAUAUAUAAAGAAUUCCUACAGACCAGUAAGAAAAAGUUAAGCGACCAUGAAGAAAAAUGGGGUCUCACGGUCUGGAAAGGAACUGGACAUCCUGAGCCCGAACAGAGGAGGGUCCUUCCUCCUGGAAGUCCCCAUCAGGCUGCCUGGGGCUUCUCUCUCUGGGCACCCAGGGCACCUUGCUCAGACUUCCACUUUGUGCCAUUCCAGAAAAUGUCACCACUAACGGAAUAAACAGAUGUUUUUUAACAACA